CUGUCCCCAUCCCCAGCAAUGACCCAGAGCACUGCCAGUGCUGAGAGCUGGUGCCAGGCUGCAGGUGAUGGCUGGAAAAGAGAGGGAGGCAGAGAGCAGGUGGAAUCCUGGAAAAGCACAGCUCCAAGCAUGGUUGCACUGCCACAAUUAACUGGGAAGGUGUUGCAGCUCCUGAUGUGAGAUAUGACAACUCCAGGGGGAGAAAUCACCGAGGUUCAGCAGGGAAAGGGGAGCAAAUGCUGUGGUGUGACAGGAACCCCUGUGGAUCAGCCCAGGAAAAGAGAGGGAUCAGUGCUGGAAAUGCCCACAGGACAGGCUGGUUCAAGGAAGAACCCAAAUGACCACACAGGAUGAAUUUCAGGAGAGGGAAAAAAAAAAAGGCAAAAUUGCUGCUAAUACCAAUGCAUAAAUAAUAACCAUGAUUCAGAUUUCAAGUGUGUCAGAAUAAACCAGGCCCACCAGCCCUAAGGGAGCUGGCAAACUUCCA